UAAUCUAUUUUUUUAAUUGUAUCUCUAAAUUUUAAAAAAUGGGCAGAUUAAUUCUAAGAAAAUUGCCUUCCCCAAACCAUGCGAGGGAUGUCCAUGGAAUCAGAUCCACGCUCACCCCAUUCUGUUCUUGGAGCCAUGUGGGACGUAAGAUCCUCGGGAGGCUUAGGCUAGCCCAGAAGGGGCCUUCUACUUGUUGUCAGGACUCAGAGCCCAAGUGUGAGAGGGAUGCAAAGGGAAACCAGCUGGAGGGGGGCUGCUUCCGUACUCACUACCUGGAGGAGCGUGCAGGAGUGGUCAAGGCAGUUCCCUUAAAGCCCCCAUAGCCUUGGCUAGGAUCAAAGUGUCAGACCCAAGUGACUCAAGGCCUUGAAUUCUCAUCUUUCUGCUUCAGCAUCAUGAGUGCUGGGAAUGCAGACACAUGAAGCAUGCUAAGCCAAACUUACUCCAUCAAGGAGGAUAAAGGAAUCCAGAGAAGCCUACACAUUUGUAUCUGCUGACACAGAGCAAAUUCCAGUCCCUCCUGACGUGGGAGCAGGCAGGGAGAGAUGCUGUCCUCCUGGAAUGGUAGCUGUGACUUCAACUAAUGAACAGUAGAUAGCUAUGCAUCCUGGGAUGACAAGCACACACUUGCAAUUGUGCCCUGAAAUUCCAAGACCACAUUAUGACACAGUGGAGGCUGGGAAAGGGGCGGGCAGCUUUUCUUUCUCUGCCAACCUUCCUGCCCAAACAGAAGGGCUUUGGUCUUAACUUGUUUUAAUGAUCACACACAGAAGACUCCAGAAACCUCUUCCAUCUAGGUACUUCCGAUACCCUGGUCUCAUUGAGUGCUCACCGCUUGUGAGUAAACCAGGGCCCAGUACCUUGUGGAAGUCAAAUCUCUGAAAGGCAGGGUUUCUCAAAGACAGAGUUAAUUGUUAAAGCCUCAUGUUGUAAGGUCAGUUAGAACUCUUCUGCCAACGUUCAGUUCUUUGAAAAUCAGUUUUCAAAAGUAAGAACAUGUGGAGACUGUUCUCCCUAAGAAGGCGAAGCUCCAUCCGACACUGUUCAUACUGACGACAAUCGACACACAGCUCUGAAUUUGAAUGUCUUGGUCCUCGCUUCCUCUCCUCUUUCUCCUGAAAUGAUACAAAGACCUGCCUGGCAGAAGGGCCCACACUGCUGUGAUAGUCCUGGCACAAAGAACCCCAAGGACAGCAUGGAAGCAGGACAGGACCACUGCGGUCCCCUCAGUGCCUUCUUCAACAUGUACCACACAAUCAGCGCAUCAUCAUAUGCUAGCGAGCACAACUUUAACUUGACUUUAACUCUUCCCUGGUGGGGGCCACCAUGAGACACAGCAUCUGGAGUUAGCCAUCUACACAUCGGAUGACCUAAUAUCAGCACAGUGAGCCAAAGGUCACAAACCCCAAGGGUCAGCCAGCAGAAGCAGAGGUGGAAGUGCUAGGCAGAACACUUCUUGGGAAUAAAGACACAGAAUUGGUUA